rnacentral:rRNA from 1 species
UGGCUCAAGAUGAACGCUAGCGGCAGGCUAACACAUGCAAGUCGAGGGGCAUCGGGAGUAGCAAUACUGCCGGCGACCGGCGCAAGGGUGCGUAACGCGUGAGCAACAUGCCCGUAUCAGGGGGAUAAUCCAUGGAAACGUGGUCUAAUACCCCAUAGUAAUUAUGUAAGGCAUCUUAUAUAAUUUAAAGCUUUGGUGGAUACGGAUUGGCUCGCGUGACAUUAGCUAGAUGGUAAGGUAACGGCUUACCAUGGCUACGAUGUCUAGGGGUUCUGAGAGGAAGGUCCCCCCACACUGGAACUGAGACACGGUCCAGACUCCUACGGGAGGCAGCAGUGAGGAAUAUUGGACAAUGGAUGGAAAUCUGAUCCAGCCAUGCCGCGUGCAGGGAAAGACGGCCCUAUGGGUUGUAAACUGCUUUUGUAUGGGAGCAAUAAGGGCUACGUGUAGUCCGAUGAGAGUACCAUACGAAUAAGCACCGGCUAACUCCGUGCCAGCCGCUGC